rnacentral:rRNA from 1 species
GAUGAACGCUGGCGGCGUGCCUAAUACAUGCAAGUCGAGCGAAGCGGGGACGGGUGAGUAACACGUGGAUAACCUCCUAUAAGACUGGGAUAACUUCGGGAAACCGGAGCUAAACCCGUUUCUUAUAUUUGGAUUCUCGCUGCAUUAGCUUGUUGGUAAGGUAACGGCUUACCAAGGCAACGAUGCCUAGCCGACCUGAGAGGGUGAUCGGCCACACUGGAACUGAGACACGGUCCAGACUCCUACGGGAGGCAGCAGUAGGGAAUCUUCCGCAAUGGGCGAAAGCCUGACAGAGCAACGCCGCGUGAGUGAUGAAGGUCUUCGGAUCGUAAAACUCUGUUAUUAGGGAAGCGGUACAUAAAGAGAAAGCCACGGCUAACUCCGUGCCAGCAGCCGCGGUAAUAG